rnacentral:rRNA from 1 species
UACGUAGGGUGCGAGCGUUGUCCGGAAUUACUGGGCGUAAAGAGCUCGUAGGUGGUUUGUCGCGUUGUCCGUGAAAACUCACAGCUUAACUGUGGGCGUGCGGGCGAUACGGGCAGACUGGAGUACUGCAGGGGAGACUGGAAUUCCUGGUGUAGCGGUGGAAUGCGCAGAGAUCGGGAGGAACACCCGUAGCGAAGGCGGCACUCUGGGCCGGUACUGACGCUGAGGAGCGAAAGCGUGGGGAGCAAACAGG